rnacentral:rRNA from 1 species
UACAGAGGUCUCAAGCGUUGUUCGGAUUCAUUGGGCGUAAAGGGUGCGUAGGCGGCGGGGAAAGUCUGAUGUGAAAUCCUGGGGGCUCAACCCUGGAACUGCAUUGGAUACUUCCUUGCUAGAGUACUGGAGAGGAAACUGGAAUUUACGGUGUAGCAGUGAAAUGCGUAGAGAUCGUAAGGAAGACCAGUGGCGAAGGCGAGUUUCUGGACAGUUACUGACGCUGAGGCACGAAGGCCAGGGGAGCAAACGGG